AUGUACGUACAUAUGUACAUAUGUACGUACAUAUGAUAUACGUACAUAUAUGUACGUACAUAUGUACAUAUGUACGUACAUAUAUACAG
rnacentral:miRNA from 1 species